CGUGUAGUGCUCCGCACGCAGCUGCGCAAGCCGUGCGCUCACGUUUGCGCUGCGCAAAAAAACAGAAGCGGCGAGACACACCUGAGAAAAAAAACAAGACAGAGAUAAUGUGUUUGCACACGUGUGAUAUAUCUAAAAACCAGUUAGCACAAUCUGUGUACAAGUUAUUGAGACCCGAAACUUUGCUGACGCCAUGUUACAUAAAUCGACCGCAACUUUCGAUCUCUUGACGACAACUUUUUUUAAGCUUAAUUUCCUCUUUCUCGUCGAAAAGAAGGAACAGAUACAUUCAUCACGCUUCGCCGGACAGAAGAGAAGGACAUGGAAGUAAUAAAUUUCUUUUGAAGAAACUAUUUCGUUUAA